UGAAGUAGGUGGGCCUCAGACGAAUUAGAUAGGAAUAAAUAACAUCACAGCCUGCGACGAUGGUGACUUUGUUGUCUACUCUGUGCUUUAUCUUCACCCCGAAGAACUGUCACUGUCAAAGGAGAUUUGUUCUUUUUGACAGCACUUAUUUGUCAGAGCAAUCCCUUUAAAGUAGUGAUUGAUUUGUCGUGUUAACUUUGUAGGUAAGGGUGUGAAACGAAUGAGAGCAGGAUUGUAGCAACAAUUGAUAUAGUCUUUAGUUGUAAGAAGAAUCCAGAAGAAGCUGGUAAGGUGAUCAGGGUGAACCAACCUUAAAACUGAACACAUACCUCAAUGCUGCUAAUCAUUGGCUAAGAGCAUAUUAGUCAGGAUUCUUUUGGUUCCAAGUGAUAUAAACUCAUUUAACUUGGCCCCAGCGAUGUAGAGAAAAACAGCACCACCCUCUCCUUCAAAAAAUUCUUUGUUAAGAACAUCCGAUUCACC
rnacentral:lncRNA from 10 species